GAUGAGCGCUGGCGGCGUGCCUAAUACAUGCAAGUCGGGCGAACGGACGAGAAGCUUGCUUCUCUGAUGUUAGCGGCGGACGGGUGAGUAACACGUGGAUAACCUACCUAUAAGACUGGGAUAACUUCGGGAAACCGGAGCUAAUACCGGAUAAUAUUUUGAACCGCAUGGUUCAAAAGUGAAAGACGGUCUUGCUGUCACUUAUAGAUGGAUCCGCGCUGCAUUAGCUAGUUGGUAAGGUAACGGCUUACCAAGGCAACGAUGCAUAGCCGACCUGAGAGGGUGAUCGGCCACACUGGAACUGAGACACGGUCCAGACUCCUACGGGAGGCAGCAGUAGGGAAUCUUCCGCAAUGGGCGAAAGCCUGACGGAGCAACGCCGCGUGAGUGAUGAAGGUCUUCGGAUCGUAAAACUCUGUUAUUAGGGAAGAACAUAUGUGUAAGUAACUGUGCACAUCUUGACGGUACCUAAUCAGAAAGCCACGGCUAACUACGUG
rnacentral:rRNA from 1 species